AGGGUAGUAGCAGUGCUCCACUGUCUGUGUUGUCUUCUUGUUUCACAGGCCAGAACUCCGAAGGAUGGGUGAAAAAUCUGGGCCAGAACUUCGUUUCCCUCCAGACCUGCCAACAUUGGGGUGAGAUGAGCACGUCUGUGGUUCGCCAAGGACAAGAUGGAACCACUGCCUUCUUUCUUCUUGACAAUCACCUGUAGCAGACCUGUAAUAUUGAGAAGGCAGAUGCUUGAUCCCUUUCAAAAGACCUGUGUCGUGUAUGACAAGCAGCAAGGUACUCAGCUGCAAUCCCCACAGAUUCAUUCAAAGGCACGGGUACGUUUGGGUGCAAUCUUGCAAACUGGCCAUGCUUUCAGGAUGGUGUUUCUUAGCUACAGCCAACAGUACAACCUGCAGCCACCAACCAUUCUUUGCAGCCCUAGCAAUCCUCCUGGGAUUUCCAUCUGCUCUAAUCUCA